ACCUUACCAAGGCUUGACAUAUACAGGAAUAUGGCAGAGAUGUCAUAGCCGCAAGGUCUGUAUACAGGUGGUGCAUGGUUGUCGUCAGCUCGUGUCGUGAGAUGUUGGGUUAAGUCCCGCAACGAGCGCAACCCUCGUUCUGUGUUGCCAGCAUUUAGUUGGGGACUCACAGGAGACUGCCGGGGUUAACUCGGAGGAAGGUGGGGAUGACGUCAAAUCAUCAUGCCCCUUAUGUCUUGGGCUGCACGCAUGCUACAAUGGCUGGUACAAACGGCUGCGAUACCGCAAGGUGGAGCGAAUCCGAUAAAGCCAGUCUCAGUUCGGAUUGGGGUCUGCAACUCGACCCCAUGAAGUCGGAGUUGCUAGUAAUCGUAGAUCAGCAACGCUACGGUGAAUACGUUCCCGGGGCUUGUACACACCGCCCGUCACAUCACGAAAGUCGGUAACACCCAAAGUCAGUGGCCCAACCGCAAGGAGG
rnacentral:rRNA from 1 species